CAGGCCUAACACAUGCAAGUCGAGCGGGGAAGGGUAGCUUGCUACCUAACCUAGCGGCGGACGGGUGAGUAAUGCUUAGGAAUCUGCCAUUUAGUGGGGGACAACAUUCCGAAAGGAAUGCUAAUACCGCAUACGUCCUACGGGAGAAAGCAGGGGAUCUUCGGACCUUGCGCUAGAUGAUGAGCCUAAGUCGGAUUAGCUAGUUGGUGGGGUAAAGGCCUACCAAGGCGACGAUCUGUAGCGGGUCUGAGAGGAUGAUCCGCCACACUGGGACUGAGACACGGCCCAGACUCCUACGGGAGGCAGCAGUGGGGAAUAUUGGACAAUGGGCGGAAGCCUGAUCCAGCCAUGCCGCGUGUGUGAAGAAGGCCUUUUGGUUGUAAAGCACUUUAAGCGAGGAGGAGGCUCUCUUAGUUAAUACCUAAGAUGAGUGGACGUUACUCGCAGAAUAAGCACCGGCUAACUCUGUGCCAGCAGCCGCGGUAAU
rnacentral:rRNA from 1 species